rnacentral:lncRNA from 1 species
AAAGCUUGAGAUGAUUUCUUGCGGUGUAGAGGGGUAGGAGUGUCUCAUGCGAACCCAUUAUUCUACUCUAAUAGAAUGAUCACACAUUGUUUGGAAGCAAGGGGUAGAUACAUUAUCAAUGACCCCACUUCACUUACAACUUUUCCCAGUAAAAAAAACGGAUUCAGAAAAGUGAGAAGAGAGAAGGGGAACCAGAAAAAGAUUACCUGCAGAUCCAGGUACUUGUUUGAGUUGAUUCCAUGUGUUCAGUGAUCGAUACUCUCAAGGUAAAGUCUACAUCUUUUGUUUAUAUGAAU